GGUGGGACAGAACCAGGACAGCUGACCCAAAAUGUCCAAAGGAAUAUCCUAUACCAUAUGACAUAGUUCUGACAAUAAAACUGGGAGACUGAGUGAGCUGUGUCGUGCUGAGCUGCCUGCCAGGGUUAAACCACAGCAGUAGUGCACCCAACAGAGGACUGGAAGAGUUUGAGAUUAUGACAGAUUUGACUGGAGUAUGGAGCGUGCUACACCAAAUGCAUAGUUGUUAUACUCUUCAGCUGCUAAUUGGUAUGCUCCCGCAGUUUUCCUGGGUCUUGCUUGCCUUACUGUAUUUUGG
rnacentral:lncRNA from 1 species